AACGUUGUGGGAGCGAGCCUGCUCGCGAAAGUGCGGCAGUCCUGCAAGCUUCGCGAGCAGGCUCGCUCCCACAACAAA
rnacentral:misc_RNA from 1 species